UCUCGCGAAGGCUGAGAUACGAUCGGGAGCGAAAAACAAGUAGUGAAGCACCGAACUCCAUACUGCCAAGAAAAGACACUAUCGAGCAAAAGGUACCCGUACCGCAAACCGACACAGGUAGGCGAGGAGAGAAUCCUAAGACGCGCGGAAGAACCUUUGUUAAGGAACUCGGCAAAAUGACCCCGUAACUUCGGGAGAAGGGGUACCGUGAAUUGUAUUAGAUUUUACCUUGAAAGCAAAGCAUGGUCGCAGAGACCAGGCCCAAGCGACUGUUUACCAAAAACACAAGUUUCUGCUAAAUCGGAAGAUGAAGUAUAGGAGCUGACACCUGCCCGGUGCUGGAAGGUUAAGGGGAAAUGUCAGGGGUAACCCGAAGCAUAGAACUUAAGCCCCAGUAAACGGCGGCCGUAACAAUAACGGUCCUAAGGUAGCGAAAUUCCUUGUCGGGUAAGUUCCGACCCGCACGAAGGGUGUAACGAUUUGGGCACUGUCUCAACAAAGGAUCCGGUGAAAUUGUAGUACCUGUGAAGAUGCAGGUUACCCACGGUAGGACGGAAAGACCCCGUGGAGCUUUACUGCAGGCUGACAUUGGAUUUUGGAACGAAAUGUACAGAAUAGGUGGGAGACUGAGAACUAGGGACGCCAGUUCCUAGGGAGUCAACAUUGGGAUACCACUCUUUUCGUUCUAAGGUUCUAACCAGGUACCUUGAAUCAGGUACUGGGACACUGUCAGUUGGGCAGUUUGACUGGGGCGGUCGCCUCCUAAACAGUAACGGAGGCGCUCAAAGGUUUGCUCAGAAUGGUUGGAAAUCAUUCACAGAGUGCAAAGGCAAAAGCAAGCUUCACUGCGAGACCUACAAGUCGAGCAGAUAGGAAACUAGGACUUAGUGAUCCGGUGGUACCGAGUGGAAGGGCCAUCGCUCAACGGAUAAAAGCUACCCCGGGGAUAACAGGCUUAUACCCCCCAAGAGUUCACAUCGACGGGGGUGUUUGGCACCUCGAUGUCGGCUCGUCUCAUCCUGGAGCUGGAGUAGGUUCCAAGGGUUGGGCUGUUCGCCCAUUAAAGAGGCACGCGAGCUGGGUUCAGAACGUCGUGAGACAGUUCGGUCCCUAUCCACCGUGGGCGCAGGAGAUUUGAGAGGAUCUGUCCUUAGUACGAGAGGACCGGGAUGGACAGACCGCUGGUGUACGAGUUGUUCCGCCAGGAGCAGAGCUCGAUAGCUACGUCUGGAAAGGAUAAGCGCUGAAGGCAUCUAAGCGCGAAGCCAACCUCAAGAUGAGAUCUCCUUGUCGCAAGAUGGAAGAGACCUUGUAGAAAAGAAGGUAGAUAGGUCAGGGGUGUAAGUGUGGCAACACAUUAAGCUGACUGAUACUAAUGACUCGAAAGCUUGACCU
rnacentral:rRNA from 1 species